UUCUCUUCUCUUCUCUUCAGGGCCUGGAAACUGAACGUCUUGUAGCCUCUCUUCUUUCCUUGCCCAGCCCCAGAUGCUGUGUUUUACCAGAGCCGCCCCAUUGUGACUCGCCCUGCAUAUGCCCAUCCGUUCCUGGACCUGACAUCUACUGAUGCUUCUCAGUCCCGAUGCAUAGUCACACAGAGUAAGAUUCCUCCUGCUUUGCCAGUCCUAUGUGACAAUCUUGAUCUGCAGAAUCCUAAAUCCACUCAAAGUGUUCCCUAUUAUUUUGCUGGCCAGCGGCACUCCACAGUAUUUGACCCAAAAGAUCUUGCCCCUACAUCAAGGACCUCACAACUUAAAUACCAGAUCUUUGGUUUUCUUUCUUUUCUUUAAGCCACUCUUAUCAAAGCACAACCUCCCUCAGUAAAUUCUCUCCAAGGAAUUUGAGGGAAAGUGCCAAGGGAAACUCCUUUGUUUUGCAUAAUCAUCAGACUUUGCCCUCAGAAUCUGGCCUUGAUACUUGCUACUGGCUAAUGGUUCUAUUGUUGCCAGAUUCCUAAGAAAUAACUUACUAAUU